rnacentral:tRNA from 1 species
GAAUAAAAAAAAAUUAAAGCUUCUAACUUUAAAAUUAAUAUUUAAAUAAUAUUAUUAUUUCA